UACGUAGGGUGCGAGCGUUGCCCGGAUUUAUUGGGCGUAAAGGGCGCGUAGGCGGCGCCACAAGUCACUUGUGAAAACUCUGGGCUCAACUCAGAGCCUGCAAGCGAAACUGUGGUGCUGGAGUAUGGGAGAGGUGCGUGGAAUUCCCGGUGUAGCGGUGAAAUGCGCAGAUAUCAGGAGGAACACCAAUGGCGAAGGCAGGUCUCUGGGCCAUAACUGACGCUGAGAAGCGAAAGCAUGGGGAGCGAACAGG
rnacentral:rRNA from 1 species